GAAGCAAGUCUUGUCUCAUAAGGGUGUCUCCAGCACAGAAGUUCUCCUAGUGCAGACACAACUGAUCCUCACAUCCAAUUGUCCUGGAGGUCAAUUCCUCCAAGUGAUACCAACAACAAUCAAGACUUGACUACAACAAGGCUGUCCACACUGUCCACAAAGGGGUGCACCAAGAGUGUCCACCUCAGGUAACUGGGGAGGCUGACCCACUGGGCCAUAUAGGAAACCUAGCACACAAAGCUACCCUACCAACUCAGGAAAGCAG